UCCAUGCCGUAAACGAUGGAUACUAGAUGUUCGGGGAACUAACCCCCUGAGUGUCGCAGCUAACGCAUUAAGUAUCCCGCCUGGGGAGUACGAUCGCAAGGUUGAAACUCAAAGGAAUUGACGGGGGCCCGCACAAGCGGUGGAGCAUGUGGAUUAAUUCGAUGCAACGCGAAGAACCUUACCUGGGCUUGAACCGCAGAUGAUCAUUAUAGAGAUAUAACUUCCGAGCAAUC
rnacentral:rRNA from 1 species